AUCCAGUUGAUGAGUGCCAAAUAGGACGAAACGUGCGUCCUGGAU
rnacentral:hammerhead_ribozyme from 1 species